UUAAAAUUAAAAAAUAAAUAAAUAAAUAAAUUUUAAAAAAAAGUGCAAUUAGGCAAACCACAUCUCAUAGUUAGCCGACUUAACAUGAGCAUCAGUAUAUCUUACUCAAACCUGAAUGUGUUCAGAAGCACAGCAGACAUCAACCUGCUUAUGUAGUUUCAAGCAUUUUGACAUAAACCAAAAUGCACUACUUCCAUGAUAAGAAAAUAAGAAGAAAAUAACAGCUGCAGGUAUUGUAUUUCCUGCUUAAAACUAGAAAGCAAUUAAAAAUACUUCCAUUUGCAAACAUUUCUCCUUUCUCUGAAUUAGGCUCAUCCAAAGAGAAGACUUUGCUCAGAAGGACACACUCCACCAGUUCAAUGCAGUCAUUGGGUUGGCCAAAAAGUUCAUUUGUGUUUUCUAUAACAUCUUAUGGAAAAACCUGAACAAAUUUCUUGGCCAAUCCAAUACAUCAGCUAAACCUCACAGCAUCUUUCAGGAUUCAGCUCAGGGCCUAGCCUUGUGGAGUUUUCUCCUCUCUCAGACUUAUUAUAACACCUGUGUUUCAUCUAGCUCAUGGCUGGGUACCGUCUUGUAUUAUUUUCCAGCUGCUUUCUGUUGGAAAAUACUUUCAUACCUUCAGGAAUAGUAAACUUGAAAAAGCAUCUGUUAGCUGGUCUCUGAGUUAAGAAAGGAGCCCCACUAAACAGAAGCAUUAAUGCUGUGAAUUGUCCUAUGUACACUAUCAAAUAGUUGCCUUGUCUUUAAUAGCUCAGGUGGCCACACUGUUCUUUCAGGCCUGCUGGUCUAUAUCCAAGUAAGUUGAAUCCGUGUUUAUUGAUCUGGUCUGAACUAAUUCUCCUCUUUUCCAAAGCUACCAAUUAUUGGUUGAAUUCCAACUUUAUUCAAAGUUCUAUUUUCUCAAAGAGAAAAAGCAUCUAUAAAGUUUAGAAUAAAGGGGCUGAAUUAAUGAACACAAUUUUUAAAAAAUAAAUGAAGAUAUAAGUUUAAUUCCCUAGGUUCCUUUUCCUCCUUAAAUACCCCUUGCUGCAUUGUAACGUAAAAAAAUAAAAAAGCCAUUAAAAAAAAAAUCAAAGUAUAGUUGAUUUACA
rnacentral:lncRNA from 1 species